AUGGCUCCAUUGUUCACAGUGCUGCCCUACAUAUACCAUACCCCUCCCACCUCCUCUGCCAGGGCCGAGGGGAAGAGUAGGUCCGGUGAACUGAGCUCUAGGGAGCUGGUACCAGCGUCCCUCAGCCACCCUCGGCUACCCCUUGGGGCAGCAACGAUGCCAUCCCUGUCCCUGGUAGAGAACACACAAAGGAAGCCCCACCCGUCCUUGGAACUGAAGACACGCUGGGGUGGCGGCUGGCGUGGACCCCAUUUCAGGGCGCCCCUGGUCCCCGCGGGGAACAAUAGCUGCCGCUUCCUGGGCGGUCUGGCUAACGCCAGGCACAAAGGUCUGGGCCGCCAUGUGAUGCGCAGGCUCGCUCCGCGCGCGUUCUCCACGCCCCCGCGAGCCGCCAGGCUGCAGGCAGGGUGGGCUGAUGCUCCCGAUCCACCUGGAGCACUUUCGCAAAGACAAACGCGGUUCCUCCUACUUCAGAGCAAGUCUGGGCCAGCUGGGAUCCGACCAGAAACCGCAAGCGGAGGAGACGUAGGCACACAAGCUGAGCGCUAACGGAAGCCGAGACCUGAGCCCCGCGCCUGCUGGGGAGCUGCGCAGCCAGGACAGCAGUCGGCAGCGCAGGGCCUGGACGCAGGGCCGGCCGUCGCUGCCUCACGUCCGAGGCUAGCAAGGCUGCCCGCCAGCCCCGCCGCCCGCCUUCGGACUUCCCGGGGAGCCCAGGGCCCUCCCAACGCGCCUGCACCCACACCCGCCCCUGACCCACAGUGACCCUGCAUUCCCCGCCCCCCGCCACACCUCCUGCGUGCCCGAAUGUCGCCCUUAAACGCUGCUCUACACUCAGAGAGGGACGAAUCCACCUGUGAAGGCAGGGCAGGACUAAUUUCAAUGGGUCAGAAGGUUCUUGCAGGCACUGUUUUAUUUAAGAGUGUCUAUUUACUGGCAGGAGUAUUUGUGUGGGAGGAAGUAGGCUAAGACUGCUGUUGAACUUGAAGCUAAACUUGAAAGCCAUUUAAAAUAACAAUAAAAAUAUACUUAAAACACCAACCACAACGAUAUGACUCACCUCACCUCUCCAGUGUGGAAACACUCCAGUAUUUUUACCUCUGUUCUUUCCAGCUUAUUUUAAGAACACCCUAAAGGGAUAGACAGCAAGUUUCUGGGGGUAGUCAUUAGCAUUAGAGCUGUUUACAGCAGGAGGGUUUGGUGGAAUUGGUGGUGAAGCAUUGUUAUGAUCCCUCUGGAGUGGUCAUGCUGUUCUCCUUAUAAAUCCUAACCAAAUUCCGGCCUAGUUUCCCUUUCCCCCUUUUUUGCUGGGGGGCAUCAGCUGAGACAUUUCUGAAGUUAGUAAAUGUGUUGCAUUAGCCCACAGGAAAGAGCCCCUGAAGGACAGAAAGCCCCAGCUUUUGCCCUCUCUCCUUCAGCCUUCUCUCCCUUCAUCCUCUUGGGUGGAAAAUGAACUUGCUUUGGAAAUAUGUUCUACCAUCUUGCUUCAGAUAGAUAUAAGCUGAAGCAUUAAGCCUCACACAGUGUCCUGAACUCACUGAGCAAUGAAACUACUGGUCCUGCUGUCCUUGGUUCAGUCUGUCCCUCCUCCUUGCCUUUCACCAAUUCCUAGUGAACAGCUCCUAUGCACGCUGUGCUGGGCUCCGGGAUACAAAGAUGAGUCACUGAUGGUGUGUGCCCUUCAAUCUAGUGGGGAAGAGAAAUAAUCCUGAAACAAUAAUGAUAGAUGCUGUAACAGAGGUGUGGUCAAAAUGUUUCUAUAAUAAAAAAAAGAGCCACUAAUACUACUAUAACAUCAAAAAAAAAAAAAAAUCAGAGGAGGUAAAUUCGGGUUCCUGAACUAUAAGAGUUUUUCAGGCCAAGAAGGGAAGGCCAUACCAGGUAGAGCGCAACUCAUGAAAAAGCAAAGAGGGAGGAAAAAGCAAAGUCUGGCCUUGGAACAAGGAGCAUACUUUGGAGUGUGGGCAUCCUGGCUAAAAAGGGAAGUUGCACAGGGUUUAUGUGAAGGAGUCUGGACCUACUCUGUCAGGAGCAGGGAACCACAGCAGGUUUUAAGCUGGGAUGUGAAGUUAUGUAUUUUGAAGCUAACUCUUAGGGAUGCUGUAUCUGAUUGGAGAAAAGAGAGAUCUGAAAGAAGAACAAAAAAGGAGGUGACUGCAACAACACAGCAGUUAGAGAGGAACUAAUUAACAAGAAUGAAGAGAAAACACAUUUAGGAGGUAGAAUUCACAGGACUCAGUGAUGAACUGGAUGAGUAAAAGAGGAGUUGUGGAUAUUAAUCUCUAGAUUUGAGGAGCUGAGUCAUGCUAGUCACUAAAAUAAAUAGAAGAGGGAGAAGAGAAGGCUUUGCAGGGAAGCUGAUGAGUUUGGUUGCAGUCUACAUUUUAUUUUCUGCUUUGCUACUGACACACUGUGUGGCUCUAUGCAAUUUACUUAAUCUUUCUGGUCUUCUGUUUCUGCAGUGAAAGAGUCAAUAAAGAUGUCUACCUCAUAGGUUUAUCAUUAGAGUAGUAUGGGUAUGUGUUUCAGGUAUUAGUAUCUUCACAAGGUCCAAGUAAGUAUUCUACAGAAAGCUAAAACCUAAAGAAAACACACCCCCACUCACAACAUGCUGAUUAAUACUUAGAUCCUGGGUGGCCAGUGAGAAAUGUCUAAGAGAAAUUAAAAACAAUGCUUUGUAGAUAUUGAAUCCAAGCUAAUAUUUAGGACUAGGUUAGAGCAAAUUGCUAAUCAGAGACCUCUCCUUCAAGAGCAGUGCUCGCUGGAGGAGUCAUGCAGAAAUGUGGUCUUGGUAUCAGACCACUAAAGAAGAGGUCUUUUAGCCAAUGUCAGGCAGCUUCCAUGUUUUGUUUUGUUUUGUUUUAAUAUCACCUGUCUUUCAGAGAAUGCUUGAAGGCCCCUACUCUCUUUUGAACCUCUUUAUGCCCUUUGUGGAAUGGUGUAGUACAGAGAAUAGUGCUGAACAUCUGAUUCUGGCCAUUUACACUGGGUGUGAUUACAGCAAGUUGUUUAUCUUUUCUGUGUUAGUAUUAUCAUUUGUAAUACAGAAUUAUAAAAGGCUCAAGAUAAGGAAGAGAGAGAUUUGGGGAGAUGUUAUAAGGGUAAGUAAAAGGUAUUAUUUUUCACUUAUCAGAUUGGCAAACAUAAAAACUUCAACAUCCCAUUAACUUGGCAAAGGUGUGAGAAGACAGGAAUGCUCAUAUAUUGCUGAUAGAGGUAUAAAUUGAUUCAUUUCUGUAGAGAAAUGUAUUAAAACUGUCAGUACACAUACCUUUUGACUAAAUCAUUUCACUUCUACAAAUUUUUCUAAUAGGUAAAAGCUUGACCAUGUGUUUGUAAUAGCAAAAGGUUGAAAACAAGCUAAAUGCCCAUCAAUAGGGAAUGGCUAAAUGAAUUGUGGCAGGUGUAUACAGUAGAACAGUAUGAAGUUAUAAAAGUAAACUAGGGCCAGAUGCUGUGGCUCACAUCUGUAAUCCACUUCAGGAAGCCAAGGCUGGCAGAUCACUCAAGCCCAGGAGUUCGAGACCAGCCUGAUUUUUGUAGAGAUGAAAACUUGUCCCUACAAAAAAAAUACAAAAAUUAGCUGGACAUGUUUGUGUAUGCCUGCAAUCUCAGCUACUCAGAAGGGUGAGGUAGAGGCCGGGCACAGUGGCUAAUACCUAUAAUCCCAGCACUUUGGGAGGCCGAGGCAGGUGGAUCACGAGGUCAAGAGAUCGAGACCAUCCAGGUCAACAAGGUGAAACCCUGUCUCUACUAAAAAUACAAAAAUUAGCUAGGCAUGGUGGUGCAUGCCUGUAGUCCCAGCUAUUCAGGAGGCUGAGGCAGGAGAAUUGCUUGAACCCAGAAGGUAGAGAUUGCAGUGAGCUGAGAUCGUGCCAUUUGCACUCUAGUCUGGGUAACAAUAGCAAAACUCCGUCUCAGAAAAAAAAAAGAGGGUGAGGUAGAAGGAUCACGUGAGCCCAAGGCUGCAGGGAGUCAUGAUUGGACCACUGCACUCCAGCCUCAGCAACGAAGUCAGACCCUGUCUCAAACUACCACCACAACAAUCCAGGAAGUUAUGUGUGUAAAUGAAGUUAUAUGAAGAUUAUUUAUAUGAAAUGAUCUUCAAGAUACAAUAGGGGGAAAGCAUGGUGCAAAAAAGUCUGCCUAGCAUGCUACCAUUUGUGUAAAAACCUGUGGAGUACACACUCACACAUAUAUAAAUUGUGCUAGUAAAAAUUGUCUCUGAAAAGAUACCCAAGUUGGUUGCUUAUGUGAAGGAAAACUAGGUAGCCGGGAAAAAGAGUGGGAGGAAGACUUUCCACUGUAUACCCCUUUGUACCCUUUGAAUCUUGAACCAGGCACAUUUAAAUUUAUUACCCAUUUGAAAAAGUAAAAGAAGACAGGCAUGGUGGCUUUCACUUGUAAUUCCAGCACUUUUGGGAGGCUAAGGCAGGCUGAUCACUUGAUGUUAGGAGUUCGAGACCUGCCUGGCCAACAUGGUAAAACCCCAUGUCUACUAAAAAUACAAACAUUAGACAGGGGUGGUAGCAUGUGCCUGUAGUCCCAGCUACACAGAGGAUGAGGCAGGAGAAUCACUUGAACCUAGGAGGCGGAGGUUGCAGUAAGCCAAGAUCAUGUCACUGCCUUUCAGCCUAGGCAAUUAGAGCAAGACUCUGUCUCAUAAAAAUAAAAAAUAAAUAAUAAAAGAACAGAGUAGAGGGUGGCGGAAGGGAGAAUAUCGGGGAAAAUAACUAAUGGGUACUAGGCUUAAUACCUAGGUGAUGAAAUAAUCUGUAUAACAAACCUCCAUGAUACAUGUUUAUCUAUGUAACAAAUUUGCACAUGUAUCCCUGAACUUAAAAUAAAAAUUACAAAACAAA
rnacentral:lncRNA from 1 species